rnacentral:lncRNA from 1 species
UCAGUCAGUCUCGCUCUCGAACUCUCGUAGUCUCGCUCUUGGACUCUCGUUGAGUCGUUGUCGCACUCGCACUCGUACACUCUCGCUGUCUCGCUCUCGAACUCUCGCAAUCUCGCUCUCGGACUCUCGUUGAGUCGUUGUCGCACUCGCACACUCUCGCUGUCUCAGACUCUCUCAGGCUCGCAUCUCAUCUUCACUGGAAAGCAGCUCGAUCAAAGGUCUGCUCCUCUCUCUCUCUCUCUCUCUCUCUCUCUCUCUCUCUCUCUCUCUCUCUCUUCGUAGUUCGUAUCUGCAAUUCUGAAUUUGAGAUUGACUUUUAUUCUAAUAUGGGUUCUUGUUUCUUGUUUUGAUCGACUCUUCUGGAGAAGAUGAUUUACAGAAAGUAAGGCUCUUCCUGGAAUUGGGGUUUCGACCGUUUCGUUGCUCUUCGGCCUCUUCCUAGUUCGAGUUUUCCUACGAGUUCUCUUG